rnacentral:rRNA from 1 species
UACGUAGGGGGCAAGCGUUGUCCGGAAUCAUUGGGCGUAAAGCGCGUGUAGGCGGCUUGGUAAGUCCGCUCUGAAAGUCCGGGGCUCAACCCCGGGAGGCGGGUGGAUACUGUCAAGCUCGAGUCCGGAAGAGGCGAGUGGAAUUCCCGGUGUAGCGGUGAAAUGCGCAGAUAUCGGGAGGAACACCAAUGGCGAAGGCAGCUCGCUGGGACGUGACUGACGCUGAGACGCGAAAGCGUGGGGAGCAAACAGG